UUGUGUUUGUUUAGUGUUACUUAUGUAAUUUGCUCGAUUUUCACAUCAAUGAAAUUGUUUGGUAUCAUUCUCAUCCUUCUCUUUUCAAUUUUGGAUCAGAGUAAGUUUUUAUUGAAUGUGAAUUCUAGUGAUUUUCUACAAUGGUCUAGGAUUGUUUCCAUUUAUCGAUUUUCACAUCAAUGAAAGAGGAAGUCUAUUAGUGCCUCUUUGUCUUUUCCUUGUAUGAAGACAGUAUACACUGGUCAUACAUAUUGCUAACACAUGAUAUUGUGAUAUUGUGUAGAUUCAGAGUUCAGGUAGAUAAUUACUAUCAUAAAGAUGCUUGCUAUUCUUAUUUUUCAUUUAGAUAUUGUGAUGUUACUUUAACUUCAAGUUGAAUAUUACGUCUUCCUUUCUAGCCAUGCCAAUCGAUGAAUCUUGGAUUAACAAACCACAAAACACUCCUGAAUAUGAAGAUGGGCUAAAAAAGUUUUUGGAUUUUGCUUUUGAGCAUGGGUCUAUUGGUGGGCGUGUAAUUAAAUGCCCGUGUUCGAGAUGUGGUUUUAACAAGUGGCAAAUAAGAGGUGUAGUUGAAGAGCACUCGACUUUUAAGCCUUUUCCUAAAAAUUAUAGAUUCUGGUAUAUGCAUGGUGAAGAUUCAAAUGCGACUAUGCCAAAAACAUCUCAGAACACGCGUGUAAUGAAAGAUACUUUGCGGCCCCGGAGUCUAAUGGAAACCAUGAUUAAUUAUGCAUUUGGGUUCACUGGGAACAAUGUCAAUGAGACCGAUAUGUCUAGUGAGCCUAUAAAUAGAGACGAAAUACUUAAUGAAGAGCGUAUUGAAGGGCAUAAUGAAGAUUAUGCAAAGUUCUAUGAGAUGAUCGAAGGUGGCAAGCAACCAUUAUACGAAGGGUGUACGAAGUAUUCCAAAUUGUCCUUUCUAAUCAAAUUGUAUCACAUAAAGUGUCUGUGCCGAAUGACUAACAAAGCGAUGAGUAUGAUAUUAGAUUUAUUAAAAGAUGCCUUUGACGAUGCCAAGAUUCCUGUUUCCUUUUAUGAGGCCAAGAAAACCAUCAACAAACUUGGUCUUAAUUAUACCAAGAUACAUGCUUGCCCAAAUGAUUGUAUGUCAAAUUUUGGGGAAGACAAUGAAGGCUUGCAAGAAUGCAAAAAUUGCAAGACAUCUAGGUGGAAGGAUAAUAAAAAGAAACAGCCUGCAAAGAUUUUGCGCUACUUCCCACUAAAGCCGAGGCUGCAAAGAUUGUUCAUGUGCUCUAAAACUGUCGAGUCCAUGAGAUGGCAUUCUUUAGAGGGUAACCAAGAUGGAUUGAUGAGGCAUCCCAGGGAUUCUCAGGCUUGGAAAACAUUUGACUUACUUCAUCCUGAAUUUGCAAUAGAUCCUCGGAAUGUACGACUAGGCCUAGCUAGUGACGGUUUUAAUUCUUUUGGAGCAAUCAACAAAUUAUAGUAUUUGGCCGGUGGUUCUUAUUCCAUACAACGGUCCUCCUUGGGAGUGCAUGAAACAAACUUCUUUCAUUCCAGGAAAACAAAUGCCAGGCAAUGACAUAGACGUGUACUUACAACCUCUUAUCCAAGAGUUGAGGGAAUUGUGGUACGAUGGAGUGUAAACAUUAGAUUCUUCAAGGAAUGAAAUAUUUAAAAAUGCGAGCAGCUUUGAUGUGGACAAUUAGCGAUUUUCCUAGGCUUGGUAACUUAUCUGGAUGGAACACACACACUCAGUUUGCUUGCCCGACAUGUAACUUUGCUACAGACUCUUACAGGUUGAAGCAUAGUAGAAAGUGGUGUUUCAUGGGUCAUCGUCAUUUUUUUGAAAGAGGCAAUCAGUUUAGAUUGCAACGUGUUCGUUUUAAUGGGAAAAUCGAUCAACGGGAGCCACCGAUUACAUUAUCAGGGUCAGACAUCUUGAAACAAAUGGAGGGCAUUAAUAAAUUUUGGAAAAGUACCCGAGUCAAAUGAUAAAGGUAAAAGAACUCGAGUAAAAGAUGUUGUUGAAGAAGGACCGAGACAAUGGAGAAAGAGAAGCAUAUUUUUUGAUCUUCCUUAUUGGGAAUCUAACUUGUUGCGUCAUAAUCUAGACAUUAUGCACAUUGAGAAGAAUGUGUGUUAGAAUGUGAUAUACACUUUGCUCAAUGCUUCUGAAAAAUCCAAAGACAAUUCUAAAGCUAGGAAGGAUCUUAGAGAAAUGGGUAUAAGGAAAGAACUCUGGGAAGAUGAGAAUGGAAAUUAUCAUCCAUCUUUGUUUUGUUUUUGAUACACUUCAAGUAAUAAAAAUGGUUAGACUGAAGGUUAAGGAUGUUCAUAACUUGGACGAUGGAUUGCGUAUAAUAGUGGAGUUUGAUGAGUAUGCAUCAACUAUUGGAAAAUCAGCUGGUUUAAUUGCCCAAGUCUUAGGGGACCUUGCUGCAAAUCCUCUGUACUUCCCUAUCGCCUUUGACAAAUGGCCAGCCAUGCCCAAGCCUUUUUUGGAUCGUGUUAUUAAUGAAAUCCUAAUGGUACUUGUCUUUUAUUUUAUUUAGUUUGCAUAUUUUAGUUAUUUAUGUAAAACUGCAAUAAAAACAUAUUUUAUUUCUGUGCAGCCUCGAUUUCUCUUUAGGAUUGAUCAAGAAGAGGCAAAAAUAUGGAUCAACAAUAAUCUUAGCCAAAAAUGGAGGGAGCACAGGGGUAAACUAUUUCGUCAUGCUGAAGAUCCAUUACUGAGUAAAGAAGAAAUCAUCAGGAAAUGUCUAGAAGACAUACCCAUGGACCAGUGGGCACUGUUUGUUAAUUAUCGCAGAAACCCGAAAACACAGGAGCUUUGUAGGAAGAAUCAACAGAGUCGACAAAACCAAAUUCCUCAUACUGGUGGUGCUAAGAGUUUGGCUAGAAGAAGGGCCGAAAUGAAGGCAAAGGGAAAAGCUGUUAAUCGAGGCCAAAUGUGGAUGGAGACUCAUAAGAGAAAAGAUGGGAGUUAUGUAUCUGAUGAGGCUAGGGUGAUUGGG